AAGUGUAUUUUAAUAUGUUAUUGUAUAUGUGUGUGUGUGUGUAUAUAUAUAUAUACACACACACACACACAUAUACAAUAACAUAUUAAAAU